GAUGAACGCUGGCGGCGUGCCUAAUACAUGCAAGUCGAGCGAACGGACGAGAAGCUUGCUUCUCUGAUGUUAGCGGCGGACGGGUGAGUAACACGUGGAUAACCUACCUAUAAGACUGGGAUAACUUCGGGAAACCGUAGCUAAUACCGGAUAAUAUUUUGAACCGCAUGGUUCAAAAGUGAAAGACGGUCUUGCUGUCACUUAUAGAUGGAUCCGCGCUGCAUUAGCUAGUUGGUAAGGUAACGGCUUACCAAGGCAACGAUGCAUAGCCGACCUGAGAGGGUGAUCGGCCACACUGGAACUGAGACACGGUCCAGACUCCUACGGGAGGCAGCAGUAGGGAAUCUUCCGCAAUGGGCGAAAGCCUGACGGAGCAACGCCGCGUGAGUGAUGAAGGUCUUCGGAUCGUAAAACUCUGUUAUUAGGGAAGAACAUAUGUGUAAGUAACUGUGCACAUCUUGACGGUACCUAAUCAGAAAGCCACGGCUAACUACGUGCCAGCAGCCGCGGUAAUACGUAGGUGGCAAGCGUUAUCCGGAAUUAUUGGGCGUAAAGCGCGCGUAGGCGGUUUUUUAAGUCUGAUGUGAAAGCCCACGGCUCAACCGUGGAGGGUCAUUGGAAACUGGAAAACUUGAGUGCAGAAGAGGAAAGUGGAAUUCCAUGUGUAGCGGUGAAAUGCGCAGAGAUAUGGAGGAACACCAGUGGCGAAGGCGACUUUCUGGUCUGUAACUGACGCUGAUGUGCGAAAGCGUGGGGAUCAAACAGGAUUAGAUACCCUGGUAGUCCACGCCGUAAACGAUGAGUGCUAAGUGUUAGGGGGUUUCCGCCCCUUAGUGCUGCAGCUAACGCAUUAAGCACUCCGCCUGGGGAGUACGACCGCAAGGUUGAAACUCAAAGGAAUUGACGGGGACCCGCACAAGCGGUGGAGCAUGUGGUUUAAUUCGAAGCAACGCGAAGAACCUUACCAAAUCUUGACAUCCUUUGACAACUCUAGAGAUAGAGCCUUCCCCUUCGGGGGACAAAGUGACAGGUGGUGCAUGGUUGUCGUCAGCUCGUGUCGUGAGAUGUUGGGUUAAGUCCCGCAACGAGCGCAACCCUUAAGCUUAGUUGCCAUCAUUAAGUUGGGCACUCUAAGUUGACUGCCGGUGACAAACCGGAGGAAGGUGGGGAUGACGUCAAAUCAUCAUGCCCCUUAUGAUUUGGGCUACACACGUGCUACAAUGGACAAUACAAAGGGCAGCGAAACCGCGAGGUCAAGCAAAUCCCAUAAAGUUGUUCUCAGUUCGGAUUGUAGUCUGCAACUCGACUACAUGAAGCUGGAAUCGCUAGUAAUCGUAGAUCAGCAUGCUACGGUGAAUACGUCCCCGGGUCU
rnacentral:rRNA from 1 species